rnacentral:lncRNA from 1 species
CUAGCUAAUUAGCAAUUGAGAUAUACCAACUCCAAGUCCUAAACCUCUGCUUAAUCAGGUAGUUAAGUAUAUGUUGCCCCAUUUGUUCUUCGAUUCUAACAUUUUACAAAAUAAUGGAAAUAUAUUCUGUUACGUCCACCAUUUACAGUACAGUACGGUUACAAAAUGUUGUUGGUGCGUAGAAAAAUUUUAGAAAAAUUUUCAAGAGUUGUAAACUCGAAUUCAUCCAACUACUAACAUACGUAUGAACUAGAUUCUUAAUUGUCUCAGAAACUCCGAUAGUAGCUAGUUAAUUAGCUACGUACUAAUGCCGUAAUAGUGAAGACUCAACUCAAAUUGAUGUAAAACAUGUUCAAUGCACUCCAUCCGCUUUUUAUAAUAGGCAUAAACACACACACAUAUACACCAUGAAAAAAAUGAGCUCUCGAUCGUUUCAACGUACUAAGACCAACACCUAAUUAACCUCACUGUGACACCGUUAAUCCGUCAUUCUUCUAAUCUCACACUAGCUAUUUCUAUGCAGCUCGAUCGUAAAAUGUUGACAGCUUAAGAUAAUGUCAAAGAUUCGAGAAAACUAUGUUUGCAUAUAUUUAAUUUAAGGGUCAAUUACAUAGAAGUCUAUUUUCAGACAUUUUAUUUCAUAUAAGUCCACCCAAACAUUUUUACUCACAUAAGUCCACCUAAGCCUAAAUAGGGUUUUAUAUUAAGUAUAAAAGUUGAACAAAAUUACAGACCGCCAUCUAAUAAAAAACAUUAGAUUCUCUCUUUUAUAUUUAUAAAAAUGUCACUAGUAUAAAAAGUCAACAACCACUCACAUCUUGGAAAAGUCUCCGGCCGACCUCCGGCGAGGUUUCCGGCUGAUCUCCGGUGAGAUUUCCGGCCGACCUCCGGCAAGGUUUCCGGCGACCUCUGGUGAGGUUUCCGACUAACCUCCGACGAUGACAAAAUUACUACUACCAGCUACAAAAGCUACUACAACCGCCUAC